rfam:Pteropus alecto contig12962, whole genome shotgun sequence.
GGUUCCAUAGUGUAGCGGUUAGCUUGUCUGCUUUAUACACAGAAGGUCCUGGGUUCGUGCCCAAGUGGAGCCA